GCCAAACAGCUAGCCCAAUCACCCAAUAAUUAAACAAUGUAAAUAAAACAAAAUAAGCCUAACGCCAAAAAUUAAAUCAUUUUUUUACCUUAGUAUGGGCGACAGAAAAGGUUACACCUGGAGCAAUAGAAAAAGUACCGCAAGGGAAAGCUGAAAGAGAAGUGAAAUAACUCAUAUAAGCACUAAAAAGCAAAGAUUAAAUCUUGUACCUUUCGCAUCAUGAUUUAGCCAGUAUACCCAAGCAAAGAGACCUUUAGUUUGAAACCCCGAAACCAAGUGAGCUACCCCGAGACAGCCUAUUAAGGGCCAACCCGUCUCUGUGGCAAAAGAGUGGGAAGAGCUCCGGGUAGAGGUGACAAACCUACCGAACUUGGUGAUAGCUGGUUGCCUAAGAAAUGAAUAGAAGUUCAGCCUCGUUCUCCCCGAAUCAAAAAGUAAGAGGAUACUAGAGGGAAACAUACGAGAGUUAGUUGAAGGGGGUACAGCCCCUUUAACAAAGGACACAACCUUUCCAGGAGGAUAAAGAUCAUAAUACAUAAGACAUCCUGUUCUAGUGGGCCUAAAGGCAGCCAUCUAAACAGAAAGCGUUAAAGCUCAGACAGAAAUAAGUUUAUUAUUCCGACAAGAAAUCUUACUCCCCUAAUAUUAUUAGGCCAGCCCAUGCCCACAUGGGAGAGACUAUGCUAAAAUGAGUAACAAGAAGGCAAGCCCUUCUCCAAGCACAAGUGUAAGCCAAACCGGACUAACCAUUGGCAAUUAACGAACUCAACCCAAGAGAGCAGUGUGGACUACAAUAAAACCAGGAAGAACCCACAACCGACCUAUCGUUACCCCCACACUGGUGUGCUGUUAAUGGAAAGACUAAAAGAAGGGGAAGGAACUCGGCAAACACAAGCCUCGCCUGUUUACCAAAAACAUCGCCUCCUGCAACACAACCAAGUAUAGGAGGUCCAGCCUGCCCAGUGACUACAAGUUCAACGGCCGCGGUAUUUUGACCGUGCAAAGGUAGCGCAAUCACUUGUCUCUUAAAUAGAGACCUGUAUGAAUGGCUAAACGAGGGCUUAACUGUCUCCCCCCUCCAGUCAGUGAAAUUGAUCUACCCGUGCAGAAGC
rnacentral:rRNA from 1 species